GGGUGUAAAGACUGUUAUCCCCAUAGGUAUGCAGUUCAGAAUAUGGGUGUAAAGACUGUUAUCCCCAUAGGUAUGCAGUUCAGAAUAUGGGUGUAAAGACUGUUAUCCCCAUAGGUAUGCAGUUCAGAAUAUGGGUGUAAAGACUGUUAUCCCCAUAGGUAUGCAGUUCAGAAUAUGGGUGUAAAGACUGUUAUCCCCAUAGGUAUGCAGUUCAGAAUAUGGGUGUAAAGACUGUUAUCCCCAUAGGUAUGCAGUUCAGAAUAUGGGUGUAAAGACUGUUAUCCCCAUAGGUAUGCAGUUCAGAAUAUGGGUGUAAAGACUGUUAUCCCCAUAGGUAUUCAGUUCAGAAUAUGGGUGUAAAGACUGUUAUCCCCAUAGGUAUUCAGUUCAGAAUAUGGGUGUAAAGACUGUUAUCCCCAUUAUAUUAGGUAUUCAGUUCAGAAUAUGGGUGUAAAGACUGUUAUCCCCAUAGGUAUGCAGUUCAGAAUAUGGGUGUAAAGACUGUUAUCCCCAUAGGUAUGCAGUUCAGAAUAUGGGUGUAAAGACUGUUAUCCCCAUAGGUAUGCAGUUCAGAAUAUGGGUGUAAAGACUGUUAUCCCCAUAGGUAUUCAGUUCAGAAUAUGGGUGUAAAGACUGUUAUCCCCAUAGGUAUGCAGUUCAGAAUAUGGGUGUAAAGACUGUUAUCCCCAUAGGUAUGCAGUUCAGAAUAUGGGUGUAAAGACUGUUAUCCCCAUAGGUAUGCAGUUCAGAAUAUGGGUGUAAAGACUGUUAUCCCCAUAGGUAUGCAGUUCAGAAUAUGGGUGUAAAGACUGUUAUCCCCAUAGGUAUGCAGUUCAGAAUAUGGGUGUAAAGACUGUUAUCCCCAUAGGUAUGCAGUUCAGAAUAUGGGUGUAAAGACUGUUAUCCCCAUAGGUAUGCAGUUCAGAAUAUGGGUGUAAAGACUGUUAUCCCCAUAGGUAUGCAGUUCAGAAUAUGGGUGUAAAGACUGUUAUCCCCAUAGGUAUGCAGUUCAGAAUAUGGGUGUAAAGACUGUUAUCCCCAUAGGUAUGCAGUUCAGAAUAUGGGUGUAAAGACUGUUAUCCCCAUAGGUAUGCAGUUCAGAAUAUGGGUGUAAAGACUGUUAUCCCCAUAGGUAUUCAGUUCAGAAUAUGGGUGUAAAGACUGUUAUCCCCAUAGGUAUUCAGUUCAGAAUAUGGGUGUAAAGACUGUUAUCCCCAUUAUAUUAGGUAUUCAGUUCAGAAUAUGGGUGUAAAGACUGUUAUCCCCAUAGGUAUUCAGUUCAGAAUAUGGGUGUAAAGACUGUUAUCCCCAUAGGUAUGCAGUUCAGAAUAUGGGUGUAAAGACUGUUAUCCCCAUAGGUAUGCAGUUCAGAAUAUGGGUGUAAAGACUGUUAUCCCCAUAGGUAUGCAGUUCAGAAUAUGGGUGUAAAGACUGUUAUUUGUUAUC